rnacentral:rRNA from 1 species
GAUGAACGCUGGCGGCGUGCCUAAUACAUGCAAGUCGAGCGAACAGACGAGGAGCUUGCUCCUCUGACGUUAGCGGCGGACGGGUGAGUAACACGUGGAUAACCUACCUAUAAGACUGGGAUAACUUCGGGAAACCGGAGCUAAUACCGGAUAAUAUAUUGAACCGCAUGGUUCAAUAGUGAAAGACGGUUUUGCUGUCACUUAUAGAUGGAUCCGCGCCGCAUUAGCUAGUUGGUAAGGUAACGGCUUACCAAGGCAACGAUGCGUAGCCGACCUGAGAGGGUGAUCGGCCACACUGGAACUGAGACACGGUCCAGACUCCUGCGGGAGGCAGCAGUAGGGAACCUUCCGCAAUGGGCGAAAGCCUGACGGAGCAACGCCGAGUGAGUGAUGAAGGUCUUCGGAUCGGAAAACUCUGUUAUUAGGGAAGAACAAAUGUGUAAGUAACUAUGCACUGCUUGACGGUACCUAAUCAGAAAGCCACGGCUAACUACGUG